AUGAUCUUGACGAUGACAAUUGAUAGCCUCAGAAUCCUUGAAUCUUGCUGUGAUCUUUGGUUUAUUCUCCGCAAAUCGAAGAAGAAGACGGAAACACUGAAGCUGCUACGAUGCACUUCAGUUUUUUGUUACGCCAUCGUGAGAAAGAAGAGAGGUUUUUGCUUCCAUUUUCGUGAUUACCGUAAUGGAAAGAAGGAGAGAAAGUGA